rnacentral:rRNA from 1 species
GAUCAACGCUGGUGGCGUGCCUCAGACAUGCAAGUCGGACGAUUAAGACUCCCUUCGGGGAGUGCAUAAAGUGGCGCACGGGUGAGUAACACGUAAGUAAUCUGCCCUCGAGUGGGGAAUAACACCGGGAAACCGGUGCUAAUACCGCAUAAUGCAGCGGCACCGCAAGGUGACAGUUGUUAAAGGAGCAAUCCGCUUGAGGAGGAGCUUGCGGCAGAUUAGCUAGUUGGUAAGGUAAUGGCUUACCAAGGCUACGAUCUGUAACCGGUCUAAGAGGACGGUCGGUCACACUGACACUGAAUAACGGGUCAGACUCCUACGGGAGGCAGCAGUCGGGAAUUUGGGCAAUGGGCGAAAGCCUGACCCAGCAACGCCGCGUGAAGGAUGAAGUAUUUCGGUAUGUAAACUUCGAAAGAAUGGGAAGAAUAAAUGACGGUACCAUUUAUAAGGUCCGGCUAACUACGUGCCAGCAGCCGCGGUAAUACGUAGGGACCAAGCGUUGUUCGGAUUUACU